rnacentral:lncRNA from 1 species
UUGCGUUUUAAUAAUUUAUUAGUUUAUUGUAUUUUACGCUAUUCAAAAGUUACUUGUAUUUUACACUUAACUAUAAUCCUUUCAUUCAGAUUAAUUAUCAAAGAUUUAUAUCCGUCUUUAAGAUAAAAGGUUCUGUAACAAAGAAUAUAGAUAAUUUGACACUAAGUGAUAACUGCCGAAAGCCAUUCUUGACAAACUUAUACGAAGCAUGUUUUUAAUCCGUAAUCCCCGCUUUCGGCAAAACGCGAA